AUGAAUAACCCAUUAAUUAGUGAAAAGAAGUUGAUGAUCACACUUUAUUUGUCCUUUCCAAAGCUACUAACCAAAACAAGGGGUGUUAGGUGUAAGGAGAAUCAGAAGAGGCCAAAAAGAGACAAUGCUAUAGGUCCAUUCAAAGAUUUUAGCAUCAAUGUGUUGUUAGGUGGGUUUGUGCUAAUGCUAUUUUACCUCUAUGAGUCUUUGUCUUUAGUUUUAAAGCAAAAGAGGCUAAGAUCAAAGCUCGAGAAGCAAGGGAUCAGAGGGCCUUCUCCUUCCUCAAUUCUCUUGGGAAAUAUCCCAGAAAUGAAGAGGAUGGUCAAACUCGAGGUGAUGAAAUCAAAGGACCGCCAUCUUUCCAUUGCUCAUGAUUGGCCUCAAAGCUGUUCCCUUAUCUGCUCCAGUGGGGAAAUGAAUAUGGGCCAAAUUUCACCUAUUUAAGUGGAAGCAUACAGCAAUUAGCAGUGAUAGAUUUGAACCUAGGGAAGCCUGGCUAUGUAUCUAAGGAUCGCAAGUCACUUUUCGGUCAAGGCAUUAUAGCUGCAAAUGGCCCAAUUUGGUACCACCAAAGGAAGAUUAUUGCCCCUGAGUUCUACUUUGAUAGGGUUAAGGGUAUGGUGGAGUUGAUGGUGGACUGUACAACCACCAUGUUAAGAUCUUGGGAGAGUAAAAUCGAAGGCGAGGGAGGAAUUGCAGUCUUUGGAGUUGAUGAGGAUUUGAGAAGCUUUUCAGCAGAUAUAAUAUCAAGAACAUCCUUUGGAAGUAAUUAUUCACAAGGCAAAGAAAUUUUCUUAAAGCUCAGAACUCUUCAGAAAAUCAUGUACCAGGGACACAUUGGGGUUCCAGGUGUAAGAUACUUGGCAACCAAAAACAACAGAGAGAUUUGGAGAUUAGAGAAAGAGAUCCACUCAAUGAUAUUAAGGGUAGCGAAGCAACGCAGUGCUGAGGCAACUUAUGAAAAGGACCUUCUCCAAAUGAUUAUCGAGGGAGCCAAAAAUUAUGGAGAUACUGACAGCCUAUUUUCAGGCAUCUCCCAGGAUAAUUUCAUAGUGGAUAAUUGUAAGAGUAUGUACUUUGCUGGCCACGAAACCACUGCCAUCACAGCAUCAUGGAGCUUGAUGUUACUAGCUGCAUAUCCAGAGUGGCAAGCUCGUGCCCGUGCUGAGGUACUUGGAAUUUGCAUGGAUCGCAUUCCAGAUGCUGAUAUGCUCCGAAGCAUGAGAAUAUUGAAUAUGGUGAUUCAAGAAGCCUUGCGCUUGUACGCGCCGUCAAUGUUUGUUGGAAGAGAAGCCUUGGACGAUAUUGAGCUUAACGGCAUUCUAAUUCCCAAAGGAACAAACAUGAAGAUUCCAAUCCCAAUACUGCACCGGCUGCCUGAUAUCUGGGGGCCUGAUGCCCUUGACUUCAAUCCAAAAAGAUUUGAGCAUGGAAUUCUUGGGGCUUGCAAGUUUCCUCAGGCUUAUAUGCCAUUUGGAGUUGGUGCUCGAAUUUGUCUUGGCCAACACUUAGCCAUGACAGAAUUGAAGGUGAUUUUGUCUCUUAUUUUAUCCAAGUUUUGCUUCACACUCUCCCCUGCAUACCAACACUGCCCAACUGCUAGUAUGGUUAUUGAACCUGAACAUGGAGUAAGUCUCCAAGUGAGGAGAGUGUGAUACUAGUUCUGUAAUAGCAUGUUGUGGACGGCCGACUUUAUCAUUGCGCAUAUAUAUUGGCAAUUUUUAACCUGUGUUUCACUGUGAACAUUGAAAAGAAAUAUGAAGGAAGAGGUCUUUUUGUUUCAUUCUUCUUACUUGUAAGCUAGAUGUAAGAUGCAA